GAAGUUAGUGGCGGACGGGUGCGUAACGCGUGGGUAAUCUGCCUUUGUCAAAGGAAUAACUAUUCGAAAGAAUAGCUAAAACCGUAUAAAAUAUUAAUAGGGCAUCCUAAUAAUAUCAAAACUGAGGUGGACAAAGAUGAGCCCGCGUCUGAUUAGCUAGUUGGUGAGAUAAAAGCCCACCAAGGCAACGAUCAGUAGCCGACCUGAGAGGGUGAACGGCCACAUUGGAACUGAGACACGGUCCAAACUCC
rnacentral:rRNA from 1 species